GGCUUUUUUUAAUGUAGUUAAAAGAGUUAUUCAUCUGGCAGUACACCAACUAAUCCACUGAGGUUUAACUAAAGAAAUGAUUGCAUUAAUAUUUAUUAUAUUCAGAGCAUUUCCUGUUAUUUUUCCCCCAUUGUCUCUGUGGUUAAUCCACCAAUAAUCUUGAGGUUUUUGACUGUACUAAAUGAAACGGGAUCAUAUGAGUGACUUCGAUAUGAUAGCAGUAAAGACGUGUGAGUCACAACUUGACUUUAUCAUCGUAGCCCUCCAUGUUAGAGCAUUUCACAUAAAGUAUUUUUGAAUUGAAUUGAAUUUAAAGCACCCUCUUACUUUCUUUUUUUUAUUAUUAUAGUAGCAUAAUUUCAACCUGAAAUAUCCAACCCUAAAUUCUAGUCUAUUUAUUUAGUCAAGAAAAAAUGCUUUUUUUACAUGCACUCAUGUACAUUGGUCAUUGGUACAUUUUUACUAAUACUUUGUGUACACCCCUUUUGCCAACGGGUAGCCCUUAGCCGUAUGAUAUUGCACAAGGUUGGAGCAUGCGGAGAGAGAGAGAGAGAAAGGAAGCUUUGACAAUUUUAUUUGCAAAAUCUCUGGAUUGUCCAGAGUCCUUGGGGCUCUCUUAUGCAAGACACACAAGGUUGGAGCAUGCAGAGAGAGAGAGAGAGAAAGGAAACUUUGACCAUUUUAUUUGCAAAAUCUCUCUGGAUUGUCCAGAGUCCUUGAGCUUUCUUAUGAAAGCCUCUCAUCAUAUCAGCCCAUUAUUUAAACAUUUUUUCAUAUGAUUUAGGCCAUAGAAUAAGGCUGAUUUUGUGUCUGGUUUUAAUUUGGCUAUUUAUUUUUUGGUCAACUAUUCCUGCUGAAAUCUCAAAUGAUGACCCAUUUCAGUGUUCUGUCAGAAGCCAACAUAUUUGUACUUAAAACAUUCUGAUAUGUUCAUGGUACUAUGCACUCUUAACAAGGUUCCCAGGACAGUUGGAAGUAAAAGAGGCCCACAGCAUCACAGUUUCUCAACCAUACUUUACAUUUCACAAUGACUAAAGCUACAUUUCCACAUUCAUCCUUUGUUUUACAGCAGUGUUGUCCAACUUUUUUGUCAUGUGGGCCAAAAUCCUCAAGUUAAAUGGACUCGCAGGUCAAAAAGAAAUAUAUUUUAAUAAAACAAAAAGAUCUGAUUGUGAAAAAUUACAUUUUCUACCUGCUCAACAAAAAAUAAAGCCUGCAAUAUUUUCAUUCAA